rnacentral:rRNA from 1 species
GUUUGAUCCUGGCUCAGGAUGAACGCUAGCGACAGGCUUAACACAUGCAAGUCGAGGGGCAGCGGGGGUAGCAAUACCCGCCGGCGACCGGCGCACGGGUGAGUAACGCGUAUGCAACUUACCUAUCAGAGGGGGAUAACCCGGCGAAAGUCGGACUAAUACCGCAUGAAGCAGGGGCCCCGCAUGGGGAUAUUUGCUAAAGAUUCAUCGCUGAUAGAUAGGCAUGCGUUCCAUUAGGCAGUUGGCGGGGUAACGGCCCACCAAACCGACGAUGGAUAGGGGUUCUGAGAGGAAGGUCCCCCACAUUGGUACUGAGACACGGACCAAACUCCUACGGGAGGCAGCAGUGAGGAAUAUUGGUCAAUGGACGCAAGUCUGAACCAGCCAUGCCGCGUGCAGGAAGACGGCUCUAUGAGUUGUAAACUGCUUUUGUACGAGGGUAAACUCGACUACGUGUAGUCGACUGAAAGUAUCGUAUGAAUAAGGAUCGGCUAACUCCGUGCCAGCAGCCGCGGUAAUACGGAGGAUCCAAGCGUUAUCCGGAUUUAUUGGGUUUAAAGGGUGCGUAGGCGGUUUGAUAAGUUAGAGGUGAAAUACCGGGGCUUAACUCCGGAACUGCCUCUAAUACUGUUGGGCUAGAGAGUAGUUGCGGUAGGCGGAAUGUAUGGUGUAGCGGUGAAAUGCUUAGAGAUCAUACAGAACACCGAUUGCGAAGGCAGCUUACCAAACUAUAUCUGACGUUGAGGCACGAAAGCGUGGGGAGCAAACAGGAUUAGAUACCCUGGUAGUCCACGCAGUAAACGAUGAUAACUCGCUGUCGGCGAUACACAGUCGGUGGCUAAGCGAAAGCGAUAAGUUAUCCACCUGGGGAGUACGUUCGCAAGAAUGAAACUCAAAGGAAUUGACGGGGGCCCGCACAAGCGGAGGAACAUGUGGUUUAAUUCGAU